AUCGCUUUUCAGCCUUUUGGCUAAGAUCCAGUGUAGUAUCUGUUCUUAGCAGCUUCGUAUCAGAUAUGUCCUCUGUCCGAGGGUAAUAGAUUAAAUGGAUUUUUAGAGCAGGGAGAUUGAAGAAGGGUCUCCUCUGUCUACUCCAUACAUUGACCUGGUCCUGCAUUACCUCCAGGAGAGUGACCCCUCA
ensembl:snRNA U2 U2 spliceosomal RNA